rnacentral:rRNA from 1 species
GCCCAUUAAAGCGGUACGCGAGCUGGGUUCAGAACGUCGUGAGACAGUUCGGUCCAUAUCCGGUGCACGCGCAAGAACAUUGAGAGGAGUUCUCCCUAGUACGAGAGGACCGGGAGGAACGCACCUCUGGUGUACCAGUUAUCGUGCCAACGGUAAACGCUGGGUAGCCAUGUGCGGAGUGGAUAACCGCUGAAAGCAUCUAAGUGGGAAGCCCACCUCAAGAUGAGUGUUCUCAUGGCAUAAGCCAGUAAGGUCACGGGAAGAACACCCGUUGAUAGGCUCUACGUGGAAGCGCAGUAAUGCGUGAAGCGGAGGAGUACUAAUAGACCGAGGGCUUGACCAUAA